AUGUCGCGAUUCUGGUGGGGAGAUGAGGAGGAUCAGCGUAAGAUGCAUUGGUUUGUGUGGUGGAGGAUGUGUAUCCCAAAGGAGAGAGGAGGGAUGGGAUUUCGGGACAUUCAGAGUUUCAAUUUGGCGAUGCUCGCGAAACAGUGUUGGAGAUUAAUUGACAACUAUGAUUCCCUAUGUGCUCGAGUCUUGCGAGCCAAGUAUUACCCCACGGGAGAUAUACUAAACAGCCAGUUAAAGAAGGGUUCAUCUUAUGUGUGGCAGAGCAUAUGGUCAGGAAUUCAAACUUUCAAACAUGGUUGUAUUUGGAGAGUGGGGAACGGAAACAAGAUAAACAUAUGGGAUGAUUGUUGGAUUCCAAACAGUGCAUCAAAGAAAAUCCUAACAGCCCGUGGGAACCGAGUUCUCACAAAGGUGAACGAGCUCAUGGACCCAACUACGGGAGAAUGGGAUGAGCAACUAAUCCGGGAAAACUUCUGGUUGAUAGACGCAGAACGGAUUUUGCAAAUCCCAUUAUUUCAUGUGGAAACUGAAGACUACGUGGCAUGGCAUCUAACAAAGAGUGGAGUUUUUUCAGUACACUCCGCUUACCGAAUAAAGUCUGGAAAAUUUUGUGGAAUUUGA
rnacentral:rRNA from 1 species